AUUGAACGCUGGCGGCAUGCCUUACACAUGCAAGUCGAACGGCAGCGGGGGAGAAGCUUGCUUUUCCUGCCGGCGAGUGGCGAACGGGUGAGUAAUACAUCGGAACGUGCCCUGUAGUGGGGGAUAACUAGUCGAAAGAUUAGCUAAUACCGCAUACGACCUGAGGGUGAAAGUGGGGGACCGCAAGGCCUCAUGCUAUAGGAGCGGCCGAUGUCUGAUUAGCUAGUUGGUGGGGUAAAGGCCUACCAAGGCGACGAUCAGUAGCUGGUCUGAGAGGACGAUCAGCCACACUGGGACUGAGACACGGCCCAGACUCCUACGGGAGGCAGCAGUGGGGAAUUUUGGACAAUGGGCGAAAGCCUGAUCCAGCAAUGCCGCGUGUGUGAAGAAGGCCUUCGGGUUGUAAAGCACUUUUGUCCGGAAAGAAAUGGCUCUGGUUAACACCUGGGGCCGAUGACGGUACCGGAAGAAUAAGGACCGGCUAACUACGUGCCAGCCGCCGCCGUAA
rnacentral:rRNA from 1 species